UACGUAGGGAGCAAGCGUUGUCCGGAAUCAUUGGGCGUAAAGCGCGCGUAGGCGCCCUGUAAGUCCGCUGUGAAAGUCAAAGGCUCAACCUUUGAAAGCCGGUGGAUACUGCAGGGCUAGAGUCCGGAAGAGGCGAGUGGAAUUCCUGGUGUAGCGGUGGAAUGCGCAGAUAUCAGGAGGAACACCAAUAGCGAAGGCAGCUCGCUGGGACGGUACUGACGCUAAGGCGCGAAAGCGUGGGGAGCAAACAGG
rnacentral:rRNA from 1 species